rnacentral:rRNA from 1 species
GAUGAACGCUGGCGGCGUGCCUAAUACAUGCCAGUCGAGCGAACAGAUGAGGAGCUUGCUCCUCUGACGUUAGCGGCGGACGGGUGAGUAACACGUGGAUAACCUACCUAUAAGACUGGGAUAACUUCGGGAAACCGGAGCUAAUACCGGAUAAUAUAUUGAACCGCAUGGCUCAAUAGUGAAAGACGGUUUUGCUGUCACUUAUAGAUGGAUCCGCGCCGCAUUAGCUAGUUGGUAAGGUAACGGCUUACCAAGGCAACGAUGCGUAGCCGACCUGAGAGGGUGAUCGGCCACACUGGAACUGAGACACGGUCCAGACUCCUACGGGAGGCAGCAGUAGGGAAUCUUCCGCAAUGGGCGAAAGCCUGACGGAGCAACGCCGCGUGAGUGAUGAAGGUCUUCGGAUCGUAAAACUCUGUUAUUAGGGAAGAACAAAUGUGUAAGUAACUAUGCACGUCUUGACGGUACCUAAUCAGAAAGCCACGGCUAACUACGUG